GACUUAUUAGUUAUAAGGAUAACUGGUGUUUUGAAAACAUCCGCAAGAGGUUCGAUUCCUCUCUAAGUCU
rnacentral:tRNA from 1 species